rnacentral:rRNA from 1 species
GAUGAACGCUGGCGGCGUGCCUAAUACAUGCCAGUCGAGCGAACGGACGAGAAGCUUGCUUCUCUGAUGUUAGCGGCGGACGGGUGAGUAACACGUGGAUAACCUACCUAUAAGACUGGGAUAACUUCGGGAAACCGGAGCUAAUACCGGAUAAUAUUUUGAACCGCAUGGUUCAAAAGUGAAAGACGGUCUUGCUGUCACUUAUAGAUGGAUCCGCGCUGCAUUAGCUAGUUGGUAAGGUAACGGCUUACCAAGGCAACGAUGCAUAGCCGACCUGAGAGGGUGAUCGGCCACACUGGAACUGAGACACGGUCCAGACUCCUACGGGAGGCAGCAGUAGGGAAUCUUCCGCAAUGGGAGAAAGCCUGACGGAGCAACGCCGCGUGAGUGAUGAAGGUCUUCGGAUCGUAAAACUCUGUUAUUAGGGAAGAACAUAUGUGUAAGUAACUGUGCACAUCUUGACGGUACCUAAUCAGAAAGCCACGGCUAACUACGUG